AGAGUUUGAUCCUGGCUCAGAUUGAACGCUGGCGGCAGGCCUAACACAUGCAAGUCGAGCGGAAACGAGUUAUCUGAACCUUCGGGGGACGAUAACGGCGUCAAGCGGCGGACGGGUGAGUAAUGCCUAGGAAAUUGCCCUGAUGUGGGGGAUAACCAUUGGAAACGAUGGCUAAUACCGCAUGAUGCCUACGGGCCAAAGAGGGGGACCUUCGGGCCUCUCGCGUCAGGAUAUGCCUAGGUGGGAUUAGCUAGUUGGUGAGGUAAGGGCUCACCAAGGCGACGAUCCCUAGCUGGUCUGAGAGGAUGAUCAGCCACACUGGAACUGAGACACGGUCCAGACUCCUACGGGAGGCAGCAGUGGGGAAUAUUGCACAAUGGGCGCAAGCCUGAUGCAGCCAUGCCGCGUGUGUGAAGAAGGCCUUCGGGUUGUAAAGCACUUUCAGUCGUGAGGAAGGUGGUGUAGUUAAUAGCUGCAUUAUUUGACGUUAGCGACAGAAGAAGCACCGGCUAACUCCGUGCCAGCAGCCGCGGUAAUACGGAGGGUGCGAGCGUUAAUCGGAAUUACUGGGCGUAAAGCGCAUGCAGGUGGUUUGUUAAGUCAGAUGUGAAAGCCCGGGGCUCAACCUCGGAAUAGCAUUUGAAACUGGCAGACUAGAGUACUGUAGAGGGGGGUAGAAUUUCAGGUGUAGCGGUGAAAUGCGUAGAGAUCUGAAGGAAUACCGGUGGCGAAGGCGGCCCCCUGGACAGAUACUGACACUCAGAUGCGAAAGCGUGGGGAGCAAACAGGAUUAGAUACCCUGGUAGUCCACGCCGUAAACGAUGUCUACUUGGAGGUUGUGGCCUUGAGCCGUGGCUUUCGGAGCUAACGCGUUAAGUAGACCGCCUGGGGAGUACGGUCGCAAGAUUAAAACUCAAAUGAAUUGACGGGGGCCCGCACAAGCGGUGGAGCAUGUGGUUUAAUUCGAUGCAACGCGAAGAACCUUACCUACUCUUGACAUCCAGAGAACUUUCCAGAGAUGGAUUGGUGCCUUCGGGAACUCUGAGACAGGUGCUGCAUGGCUGUCGUCAGCUCGUGUUGUGAAAUGUUGGGGUAAGUCCCGCAACGAGCGCAACCCUUAUCCUUGUUUGCCAGCGAGUAAUGUCGGGAACUCCAGGGAGACUGCCGGUGAUAAACCGGAGGAAGGUGGGGACGACGUCAAGUCAUCAUGGCCCUUACGAGUAGGGCUACACACGUGCUACAAUGGCGCAUACAGAGGGCGGCCAACUUGCGAAAGUGAGCGAAUCCCAAAAAGUGCGUCGUAGUCCGGAUUGGAGUCUGCAACUCGACUCCAUGAAGUCGGAAUCGCUAGUAAUCGUGGAUCAGAAUGCCACGGUGAAUACGUUCCCGGGCCUUGUACACACCGCCCGUCACACCAUGGGAGUGGGCUGCAAAAGAAGUAGGUAGUUUAACCUUCGGGGGGACGCUUACCACUUUGUGGUUCAUGACUGGGGUGAAGUCGUAACAAGGUAGCCGU
rnacentral:rRNA from 1 species